rnacentral:other from 1 species
GCACUCCUGCGGUGUUCGAUCAGCCGUCACGCUUCUGAGCCUAUUCACACUUCGGGGUUUGGUUCUUGAGGGCGGUGUGUCUUCCCCCUUGCGGGGCAAGCCUAAAGCCUUUAUACCGGAUCCCACCUGCACAAAGCAGGUUCAGAACUCCCCGGCAAACCGGCACAGGCGGGAGUGUU